rnacentral:rRNA from 1 species
UAAUACGGAGGGGGCGAGCGUUGUUCGGAAUCACUGGGUGUAAAGGGUGCGUAGGCGGUCCGAUAAGUCUGAUGUGAAAGCCCUGGGCUCAACUCAGGAACUGCAUUGGAAACUGACGGACUGGAGUACCGGAGAGGGAAGCGGAAUUCCUGGUGUAGCGGUGAAAUGCGUAGAUACCAGGAGGAACACCGGUGGCGAAGGCGGUUUCCUGGCCGAGUACUGACGCUGAGGCACGAAAGCGUGGGGAGCGAACGGGAUUAGAUACCCCGGUAGUCCACGCUGUAAACGAUGGGUGCUAGGUGUUGGAGGUAUCGACCCCUUCAGUGCCGUAGCUAACGCUUUAAGCACCCCACCUGGGGAGUACGUUCGCAAGAAUG